UCAUAAGUAUUUUUGCUGAAUACAAUCGC
rnacentral:sRNA from 1 species